CCAUGGAGGCUAGAGGUGGUGGGCCCGGGUCAGGCCCAGCCAUGGAAGCAAGGCCCAGGAGGGGGGAAUGAAACUGGGAGGGGCAUAAGUGGCAGUGGGGAGGAAAGGUGGCUGGGCCUGGAAAAAGAGACUGGGGCAGAAGGGGGGGGGGAGAGGUAACCUCCGGCCCCAAAGAGCGCACAGAUGCUCUGUGCGGGGUUGGCUAGUUACUUUGAAUUUAUUCAGUCUUCAGAAUGCAGCAUUUAUUGGGUCAGACAUUGGAUUUGGCUGGUUUCCCCCCGAGGCUGAGGGAAUUGUUUGCUUUAUCAGGGAGAAUAUGUUUAGCUAACCAAGCAGUGCCAUACUGAUGAAAAUUAUUCAGAGUAGUUCCAUUAAAAUUAAAAGGACAAGUUAGGCCAUGCCUAAUGAUGCUUUGAUUUCAGUGGAAGUACUUUGAGUUAUUUUCAUCACUAUGUCAGGAAAUGAUUUCCCCCCAUUACUCUUACCAGAGAAUGGGGCCAAAAUCAGUUGCUUGGUUCAGAUAGAACGUAUGAAAAUGUGUUUGCUAUACUGAAUUUGUUAGAGAAGGGGCAACGAUAUACUGGAAAUGUGGGCUGACAUACAAAGAACUGUAUUAAGUAUACAAAGUUUGCCUUUUGUCUCCAUGAGAAAGCAGGCCCAUAUGCUGUAUCACAAACUGCUUUGGAUCUCAGCCCUGGCUAUAAAGUGUGGUAUCAAAAAGGGUGGAACUAGAAAGCUCAAUGAAGUCUACAAAUCUAAAAAGAAGCAUCUUUUCCCUAAUUAACCCUAUGAGAAGCAACUUCUAAAUUCAGUGGUUCUCCAGGAAAUAUAUUUGUAAGAGCUGCGCAUUGCAUCCAAUAAUUGGGUACGAGAUUAUACAAGCCCUAUUGGGCUAUAUUUCAUCAGAAAUUGUUCAGUUGAGAAAUGUCUCCAAUAUCAGCAAACAAUUUGAUGCAAUACCAAAUCGUAUCAGUAAUCUAUCGAAUAUUAUUGGAGAAAUGGGCUGCCUUCUAAGAAGCCACAGCUGCAGCGUUUCAAAUCUCUGCCUUCGGUUUCCUGGGUGCACCCUAACAUGCCCCAGGAAGGGAAGCAAUGUUGUGAUGUUGCAUCCUGCUUCUGGCACACACUACUUGCGGGGGUGGCAGUGGUGGAUUGUGACUGUGGUCAUCUGGUGGUGAUUUAGUGCUGGGCCUUUUCUAUAGCUGCCCCAAAGUUUUGGAACUGGUAGCUUUAAAAAAAAAAAAAAGCCUCAAGGCACACCUGUUUAACCAGGCAUUUAGUUAAAUUUAAAAUUGUUUUAAAUGUUUUAAACAUUUGUUUUAACAUUUGUGUUUUAUUUUAAUCUUGUGUAAACUGCCAAGAAAUGUGUGUAUGUGUGUGUGUGUCCACACAUACAAUAUGUAGAAUAAUUAAAACCGAGCAUCUGAAGGAUCGCCGUCUCCCAAGGGUUUCUGCCUGCCCAAUAAAGUCAUCGGAGGGUGCUUUGCUCCGUGUGCUGACACUUAGGGAAACUUGAUUGUCGUGUACGCAGGACAGGGCCUUCUCUGUUGUUCAGGCUUCUACCCCAUAGGGGACUCCAGUCUUUUUUCCUGGCUUUUGUUUUUAUUGCUGUUGCUUUUUGGUGUUUUUGUGGUUUUAAUUGAUUUUAAUAUUUUAAUGUGAUUUUAUGGGAUUUAAUGGUAUUAACUUUUGUAAACUGUCUUGGGAUAAGUUUUAUGAAAGUCGGUAUAUAAAUCGAACAAUGAAUGAAUGAAUGAAUGAACGAACAAACAAUCUGCAAAUGAGUGGGCUGUAAGGCUGAUGAGCAGCAUUAACUAGUAACAGUGCAGCCCACUGGAUCAACGAUCUAACUGCAAAGAACAGCAUUAAUUUAUAAGUAUUAAAAGUAGCAUCUUCAAUAACUGCAGGCUGAAAAAACCAACCUUCUAAUCCAGUGAUCUUGGACCAGGAGGUUCAAGAUCACUGUGGGUAUUCUUUUUCUAAAUACACAGAACAGCAACAUAAAAUGUGUGUUUUGCUUGCUUUUAUUUGCUAGUAUGCUAAACACUACUAAUUGAUUCUGAUGAAGAGACCAAGCUAAGUGAGAAGAUUUGAGUUUUCAUGGCAAAAGCUCUUGCAAGAACCAUAAUGUAGAUGCAUUUGGCCACUUAGAGCUGAGGUGGUGACUGUCCUGAAACAGUGCCUGUAUGGAUGCAGUAAUGGACCGGUUGAGGAUGAAAAGCUGAGAUUCAAUCCAGACAAGACAGAAGUAAUGUUGGUUGGUGGUUCAUCUGCCCAGGUGAAUGGUGUUCAGCCUGUUUUAGAUGGGGUUGUACACUCCCUGAAGGAUCAGGUUUGCAAUCUUGCUCAUUGAUCCAGCAUUGUUGCUAGAGGCUCAAGUGGCCUCUGUGGCUCGGAGCACCUUUUAUCAGCAUCAGCUGAUACGCCAACUGUGACCUUACCUGGAUACAGAUAGCUUGACCACAGUUAUUCAUGCUCUGGUAAACCUCUCACUUAGAUUCCUGCAAUGCAUUGUAUGUGGGGCUGUCUUUGAAAAUGGACUAGAAACUGAAAAUGAUCCGGAAACUGGUACAAAAUAGGGCUGCAAGAUUAUUAGCUGGUCCUGGACAUUUUGUUCAUAUUAUGCCAGUGCUUCAUCAGCUGCACUGGCUCCCAGUCUGUUUCCAGGCCCAAUUCAAAGUGCUGGUUUUAACCUUUAAAACCCUAAAUGGCUUGAAACUGGGCUACCUGAGAGAGUGCCUUGCCCCAUAUGUCCCAACCUGAACCUUAAGAUCUUCUUCGGAGGCCCUCCUCCGAGUGCCCCUGACAAAUGUGGUGAGGUGGGUGGCUACUAGAGAGAGAGCCUUUUCAGUGGUUCUUUUUCAGUGGUUCCAUGCCAUUUAUGCAAUAGCCUUCCCAGUGAGGUUUGCCUGGCUUCAUCACUUUGUUCUUUUAGACACCAGGUAAAUAUCUUUAUGUUCGCUCCGGCCUUAUACAUAUAAAUUUUGAUUUUUACAUUUGAUUUUUAAACUGAUUUUAAAAGAGUUUUAGAAUGGCUUUGUAUUGUAUUUUGUAUUUUCUUUCCUUUCUCCCCUUUUCAUCUGUUAUGAUUAAUGUGUUAUGGGUUUUUAUUUUAUGUUUUAAUGCUGUGUUGUGAGCUGCCCAGAGAACAAUUUUGUUAUGGGGUGGCUAAUAAAUAAAGUUUGUUUAUUAUUAUUAUUAUUACAAUGUUCCUCUUCUUAAAUGUCUGAACAGGUGAAUGGUCUCACACUUUAAGAAUUCCGCUGUUUUGUGAAACACUCUCCAAACCGAGAAUGCAAAGCCUGUGGUCUGUCAGUACGGUUAUCUUCAUGGUAUGUGGCAUCACAAAACAUACCUGAAUGGGUGGGUGCGGGGUGCGUGGGCAUAUGUAAAGCAAAAUUAUAAUCGUUUAUAGAAGAGAUUCAACCUUUAAUUAUAAGGACACUUUAAUGACAAAGCAGUUUGUAUUAUGAUGACUGCCCUACGGUUGCUACGAGUUGCAGGCCAUCAGUGCAGUGUUCAGCCCUGACCCUUGAUCUAACCCAACUCCCUGGUGAACCCAUCCAAUACUGAAGAGCCUUAAUUUAAUAUCCAGAGGCCAGAUAGAACUGUGUUCAGUUGAUUGUUGUCAAUUUACCUUGCAGCAAAGCAACUUGAACUACAAAUGUAAGGUAGAGGUGGAAGGGGCAAGGCCUGCAGCUCAGCCUUUCACAGUCAUUUUGAAUUCCAUUUUGCUAGACCAGCCAACACUAAAAGGUUCAGAGGGCCAAUCUGAUUUGGCUAAACAUCCACAAGGUGAUACACUUAUCCAAAGCACUUUGGUCUGUGAAAUUCCAUAAGAAUACCCUCUUAUGAGACCAGAAUAAUGUGUCUUUCAAAGAAGCAAAAGAAAAACAAUGUAGUACACAAAAAAUCUUCCUUUUAAAAAAGGAAGCCAUAUCAUUUUAGACUAAUUGAACAUAUAAGUUUACCUUUCAUGAGCUCCAUGUGUUUUUCUUUGGAUGCAACUUCCCCACCCUCUUCCCUGCUACAGUCCUCUACACCCCACAAAAGCCUCUCCUGAUGGCUGGACAAUCCUCCAGAAUGGGGUAGGAUACAAUGCUGGCCCAUAAUACUUUUCUGAGACUGGGUUUACACAAUCACAAGUAUGCUGGUUUAAAAAAAAAGCAGGAUAAAUGAGCCUUGUGGAGCUGAUUGUGAGAACCUAGUAUUUCAGGGUAAUCCUGGUCAAAUCACACCAGUAAACUAGCAUUUUACUAGGACAGUUAAAGCCUCUUCUCGUGACCAGAGCCUCCUUUUGGCUCUACAGCUUAUGCAGCCAAAUGAGCACUAGAGCAGCAAUCUCUGUUGCUGAUAUUGAGAGCUGGGGCCUCCAGAUAUCCCACAAUGCACUGUGUGAACAGCAGUGAGGCAGCCCUCAAUACUGCAGCAUCUCCACUCUGCCUGGCCCCGCAAGCUACAGGACUCUGUGAUAAACAUGGCCCAUGAACAGUUUCAAAUGGCACAACUUUAAGGAAUCUCCAGAGAUGUGAUUCCUCCAUCAUCUAAUCCUAGGUAAAUCUUCCUUCUAACUUCUCGGAUUAUUAUGGGCACCACAACAUAAUAGACUCAGAGGUACCAACCCAGAAGUAUGUGGAAUUCAGGCCUGUGUCUGAUUUCAUUUUAUAUUAAGAAAUGAAUUAAUGCCUGGACUCAGGGUGAAUUGACACCCCAGAUCUCAACUGGUCUGUGAGGGAAGAGGUGAUCCAGCAUUGUAUUGUGAAAUGGGUACUCAAGGAAGCACAAAAACCAGGCCCGAACAAUCCAAAUGCUAAAAUGUGACUCACUAUCAAAUAAUGUCUGUGGAAGAGGCCAGAGGCUGAUCUCCCCUCUCCUGUUGCAAGAAGUCCAUGUUAAUUCUUGUCAAUGAUUGACUCAAUUGCUCUCUAUAGAAAUUCAUCAUAGGUAGAUGCACACAAAGAAAACACCUAUAGACUUUUAAUUCUUACUUUGCUAACACUUUAACACCUUUUUGGGGUCAGGCUGGCAAAUCUGGGAAGAUGCCCAUUUGCAGCUCAGGGAUGCAGAUUUGCUUUGGGCAUUGUUUCUCCCUUUCUAAGCUCACAGCUUACAGAAGAUGGGAUUCAGAUUUCUCUGGACUGGCCAAUAUCCUGAAUAAUUAGAAGACAUUAUCCAGAAGGUAACAGCAUUGUCACCCCUUUUUUGGGGACCCGGGAAAAGAUGAGAUUUGAAUAGACUCUAUGAGCCAUGGUGCCCUGACUCUCAGCCGUGCUCUGAGCAAACUGCAUGCUUGAUCCAAAAGCUCCUGUCUCCAGCCAAAAGCCUCGAUCCUUCAGCUGAAAGAUCCACCGCUCUCAAAGCCUCUGAUCCUGGUAAUAUGCUGCCCCUACAAGCCUUGGAUCCCUUCAUCCCUUCCCUUCUUCUCCCUUCCCCUUGUCCAUCUACUAAUUCCUGAUCUCCCCAAACCAUGCCAGGCCUCAGACUUCCUUACCACCACCCCCUUUUUCCAUCUGUAUCUGAAUUGUAUUAGGCUCUGGGAAGAUUUAAUACACACACAUAUGUUAGUUAGGAACAGUGGAUGAAUAUUGGUGUUGGCUUGGGUUGAAAUACUGCUAUAGAAUGUUCUGCUUUCUGCUCAGCUAGAUUGAAGUUGUUGUUCUUUUAUACUCAAUAAAGCCCAUUGAAUCAUU